UAGCCGGGAGGCACAGCGGUUCAGGGGCUGCUAAGAGACACUGGGAAGAAGGGGGAUCCCUGCCAGGAAGGACCUCCACACUUCCUCCGGAGGAAACUCGACCUUGAAGGGGCUUCCUUUGACGGAGGAGUCCCUCCCGGAGAAGUUGAGGCUGACCUCCUCUGGGUCAUCUGACGGUGGGUACUGAGCGCCUCUGCAGACUACCUUCCCAGCUACACCUGGGUUCGAGUUGACUGAGCACUUAGGUACUGUGGCCUGGCCAGGAUUACAGAAAACUGGAGAGCUGAAAACACAUCCUUGCAGAACAUGUGAAAUGACCUCCUGACAUGCCCGACGCUGCCUGUGAGGGCUCUGGUGAUGCCUCAGCGCCUUCUGAAGACACACCCUCCUUCAUCCCACACAGUCUCUUGGGGCAGAGAUGGGAGAGCUGCGGGCUCAGGCGAUUUCCCCCACCAAGUGUUGCAAUGCACUGAGAACUCCUCCAGGAGCGUCCGAGGCCACCUGCAUUUUCAGAAGAAACUUCCACCAUAGAGGCGAUUUUUUUCGGGAUGGGGGGAAGCCUUGAGAGGCACAGCUCCAGCAGGCACAGUGUCUGAUGAGCUCGGAGACCCUCCUGCUGUGCCUGAGAACCCAGUGUUACCGAAGACGAUGGCACCAGACCCCCAAGCAGGCAGGGAAGCAUCGGGCGCUCCUGGGCGUAUGAGGGCUCCUCUGCAGGGCCGGGAGGCACCGGCUCACUUAGACUCCUCCGUCUAUCACAGAGUAGAAUGUGGAGGCAGCCAUGAAAAUCAUAGAAACCGUGUGUGGACCCCCAGCCUGGCAGGAGGGAGGAAGUGAAAUUGGGGGUGCACCCAGUAGAGACACCUCCCCUACCCCAGACCUGCUGGGCCCUCUGCAGUCUCCUCCUCUAGCCUGGCCAGUAUUCACAGUGGGGGCACGCUCACUGAGCUCUCACACUGCUUUCCCUCCUCUCCCUGGCCCCCGGGGACUCCCUGUCUGCCAAGUGAUACAAUGCACACCUUCAACUGAACACGUUCCACCCUGACACAGCGUCACUCCACUCCACGUGUGUCUAAGAGCCCUGCCACAGCGACUCCAUUGCUGCUUUCUGCUCUUGGUGCUGGUUUUUUCUUUCCUUUCCUUUUCUUUUCCUUUUUUUUUUUUUUUGAGAUGGAGUCUUGUUCUAUUGCCCAGGCUAGAGUGCAAUGCCUCGAUCUCAGCUCACUGCAACCUCCGCCUCCUGGGUUCAAGCAAUUCUCCUGUCUCAGCCUCCUGAGUAGCUGGGACUACAGGCAUGUGCCACCACGCCUGGCUACUUUUUGUAAUUUUAGUAGAGAUGGGGUUUCACCAUGUUGGUCAGGCUGGUCUCAAACUCCUGACCUCGUGACCCGCCCCAUGCAGGUGUUUUGACUGCCAUUGUUAGGGGCCGCACAGGGUUGGGAGACGCUAGACCAUGACACAUUAACAAACAAACCUCCAAAAUCUCAUAGCUUAAUCCUGCUACAAUGUAUUUCUCUCUAGGGCAAGCAGCACACUGAUUGGCAGGGCUCUCCUCCGGGGUCACUGGGGAUCCCGGCUCCCCAUCUCCUGUGCCACCCUCACAGGCAUGCCUCCAGGAUUGCACAUCAGAGAGGGGCCUGUGGAGGAGGCAUGCAGCUCCGAGUGUGUUGACAAGCAGACACACGGUCCUUCUGCUCAGAGCCCAUUGGCCAUGGCUGGUCACAUGGUCCCAACCUCACCUCGAGGGACGCUGGGAGUGAAGAAGAGCACGUGGACUAUUUAGUGAAUACUACUGCCCUUCCUCCACAGAAAUGUGGGACAGCUGGCCAUGUCUAAAAUUAAUCCAUUUUUAAGAAUGUUCAGUAAGAUCCCAUCCUGGGAAGAAAACCCUAUUUAAAAAUACAUCAUAUAGAAUAUAUAAAACAUAUACACAUACAGAUAUAGAGUGUAUGUGUUAUCUAUUGCCAUGUAGCAAAUUACCCCAAAACUGAGCAGUGUAAAACAACAAACCUUCAUCAUCUUACAGUUUCAGUGGCUCCAGGAUUUUCAAGAAGCCUCGUGGGGAGGCUGCGGCACAGGAUCUGGCCAGGGCUGCAACACCUGCAGGUACACUGGGCUGGGAGAUCCCUUUCCAAGGAAGCUUGCUCACGUGGUUGCUGGGGAGAAGCCUCCGAUUCUCACAAGGCCACUGGUGGGGGCCGGAGCUUCUCACAGGCUGUUGGCGGGAGGCCUCCGUUUCUGGCCCCAUGGGCGUCUCCACAGGGCUCCUUGAGCAUCCUCCCAACAUGGCGACUGGCUUCCCCCAGACUGACCCCAGAGAGAGCAAGGUAGAAUCCACAAAGCCAUCUGCCAGCUAGUCUGGGACAUCACUCACUCUCACGUGGGCCAGCUCAGAUGCUGUGAUACCAAGACACUGUGAUGGUCAAUUUCACAUGUCACCUUGACUGGGCCAUGAGGUGGUGAGACAUUUGGCCACUCGUGCUCUGGGGUGUCUGUGAGCUGUCUCUGGAUGAGAUCAGCAUCUGAGCUGAAGGACCCCUGUGUGGGUGGGCCUCCUCCAAUCCCUUGAAGGCCUGAACAGACAAAAGGCUGAGGGAGGGCUAACUUGCUUUCUCUGCCUGUAGUCUUCAA